UGUCCCCACAAGACAUAAGAAAGGCACAGGAAUGCUGGACCAGCCCCUGGGUGGGGGGCUCUGACCUUGUGCUCUUGAAAAUCUGAUAGAAAAAGGUGGCUCGACUCUUCUCCAGAAAGGCUUUAUUCACAUCUGUGGAUAUUGUACAUAUCUUUGCAAGUCAUGCACAAACUAUUGUAUAAAACUAAUUUGACUGUAAAUAAAUUACAUUUUCAGGCUUUCAUGACCUAGGGAAACGGAUGCUCAUCAGAAGCAAGGGUGGUAGGAGGAAUAAUAGGUAGGGACUAAAAGGGACUUGGCAAUCAUGACACAUCAUCUUACCUGCUGGAAAAGUCAACUGGCUUUAGCUAGGCGGACAGGCCACCUUACUUAACCCAGAAAAGGAAUAUAUAAAUUAUGUGUUCAAUAAAUAGCCAAAUGCCUUGUCUUCUAAUUAGCGAUGUGCAUGAAUGGAUGAACGAGAUUCCCACUGUUCCUACCUACUAUUCAGUGAAACCACACCCAAUGGAACAGGCUUGGUGGAAUCAGCAGGGAAAGAAGACCCUAUUGAGCAUGACUCUAGUUUGGCACUGUGAAGAGACAUAAGAGGUGUAGAAUAAGUGGAAAGCCCUGCAUUCUCCCUUGUGGCUCUCUCCUCAACCUCUGUCUGCAUCAAAAGGGGAUGCCAGGAGAAGAGGAUAGGGGCUACCAUGCAGGGAUGCUCCAUGUCCCAGGAGCUCAACUGGCUGAGAAAGAAGU
rnacentral:ncRNA from 1 species